GGUCAAGUGAAGAAGCGCAUACGGUGGAUGCCUUGGCAGUCAGAGGCGAUGAAAGACGUGGUAGCCUGCGAAAAGCUUCGGGGAGUCGGCAAACAGACUGUGAUCCGGAGAUAUCUGAAUGGGGGAACCCAGCCAUCAUAAGAUGGUUAUCUUGUACUGAAUACAUAGGUGCAAGAGGCGAACCAGGGGAACUGAAACAUCUAAGUACCCUGAGGAAAAGAAAUCAACCGAGAUUCCCUUAGUAGUGGCGAGCGAACGGGGACCAGCCCUUAAGUUGUAUUGAGAUUAGCGGAACGUUCUGGAAAGGACGGCCAUAGUGGGUGAUAGCCCUGUACGCGAAAAUCCCUUUGCAAUGAAAUCGAGUAGGACGGGGCACGAGAAACCUUGUCUGAAUAUGGGGGGACCAUCCUCCAAGGCUAAAUACUACUGACUGACCGAUAGUGAACCAGUACCGUGAGGGAAAGGCGAAAAGAACCGCGGAGAGCGGAGUGAAAUAGAUCCUGAAACCGUAUGCGUACAAGCAGUGGGAGCCCACUUUGUUGGGUGACUGCGUACCUUUUGUAUAAUGGGUCAGCGACUUAUUUUCAGUGGCGAGCUUAACCGAAUAGGGGAGGCGUAGCGAAAGCGAGUCUUAAUAGGGCGUCUAGUCGCUGGGAAUAGACCCGAAACCGGGCGAUCUAUCCAUGGGCAGGUUGAAGGUUGGGUAACACUAACUGGAGGACCGAACCGACUACCGUUGAAAAGUUAGCGGAUGACCUGUGGAUCGGAGUGAAAGGCUAAUCAAGCUCGGAGAUAGCUGGUUCUCCUCGAAAGCUAUUUAGGUAGCGCCUCAUGUAUCACUGUAGGGGGUAGAGCACUGUUUCGGCUAGGGGGUCAUCCCGACUUACCAAACCGAUGCAAACUCCGAAUACCUACAAGUGCCGAGCAUGGGAGACACACGGCGGGUGCUAACGUCCGUCGUGAAAAGGGAAACAACCCAGACCGUCAGCUAAGGUCCCAAAGUCAUGGUUAAGUGGGAAACGAUGUGGGAAGGCUUAGACAGCUAGGAGGUUGGCUUAGAAGCAGCCACCCUUUAAAGAAAGCGUAAUAGCUCACUAGUCGAGUCGGCCUGCGCGGAAGAUGUAACGGGGCUCAAACCAUGCACCGAAGCUACGGGUAUCAUCUUUUGAUGAUGCGGUAGAGGAGCGUUCUGUAAGCCUGUGAAGGUGAGUUGAGAAGCUUGCUGGAGGUAUCAGAAGUGCGAAUGCUGACAUGAGUAACGACAAUGGGUGUGAAAAACACCCACGCCGAAAGACCAAGGUUUCCUGCGCAACGUUAAUCGACGCAGGGUUAGUCGGUCCCUAAGGCGAGGCUGAAAAGCGUAGUCGAUGGAAAACAGGUUAAUAUUCCUGUACUUCUGGUUAUUGCGAUGGAGGGACGGAGAAGGCUAGGCCAGCCUGGCGUUGGUUGUCCAGGUUUAAGGUGGUAGGCUGAGAUCUUAGGUAAAUCCGGGAUCUUAAGGCCGAGAGCUGAUGACGAGUGUUCUUUUAGAACACGAAGUGGUUGAUGCCAUGCUUCCAAGAAAAGCUUCUAAGCUUCAGGUAACCAGGAACCGUACCCCAAACCGACACAGGUGGUUGGGUAGAGAAUACCAAGGCGCUUGAGAGAACUCGGGUGAAGGAACUAGGCAAAAUGGCACCGUAACUUCGGGAGAAGGUGCGCCGGUGGAGGUGAAGCAUUUACUGCGUAAGCCCCUGCCGGUCGAAGAUACCAGGCCGCUGCGACUGUUUAUUAAAAACACAGCACUCUGCAAACACGAAAGUGGACGUAUAGGGUGUGACGCCUGCCCGGUGCCGGAAGGUUAAUUGAUGGGGUUAGCGCAAGCGAAGCUCUUGAUCGAAGCCCCGGUAAACGGCGGCCGUAACUAUAACGGUCCUAAGGUAGCGAAAUUCCUUGUCGGGUAAGUUCCGACCUGCACGAAUGGCGUAACGAUGGCGGCGCUGUCUCCACCCGAGACUCAGUGAAAUUGAAAUCGCUGUGAAGAUGCAGUGUAUCCGCGGCUAGACGGAAAGACCCCGUGAACCUUUACUAUAGCUUUGCACUGGACUUUGAAUUUGCUUGUGUAGGAUAGGUGGGAGGCUUUGAAGCGUGGACGCCAGUCUGCGUGGAGCCAACCUUGAAAUACCACCCUGGCAACUUUGAGGUUCUAACUCAGGUCCGUUAUCCGGAUCGAGGACAGUGUAUGGUGGGUAGUUUGACUGGGGCGGUCUCCUCCUAAAGAGUAACGGAGGAGUACGAAGGUGCGCUCAGACCGGUCGGAAAUCGGUCGUAGAGUAUAAAGGCAAAAGCGCGCUUGACUGCGAGACAGACACGUCGAGCAGGUACGAAAGUAGGUCUUAGUGAUCCGGUGGUUCUGUAUGGAAGGGCCAUCGCUCAACGGAUAAAAGGUACUCCGGGGAUAACAGGCUGAUACCGCCCAAGAGUUCAUAUCGACGGCGGUGUUUGGCACCUCGAUGUCGGCUCAUCACAUCCUGGGGCUGAAGCCGGUCCCAAGGGUAUGGCUGUUCGCCAUUUAAAGUGGUACGCGAGCUGGGUUUAGAACGUCGUGAGACAGUUCGGUCCCUAUCUGCCGUGGACGUUUGAGAUUUGAGAGGGGCUGCUCCUAGUACGAGAGGACCGGAGUGGACGAACCUCUGGUGUUCCGGUUGUCACGCCAGUGGCAUUGCCGGGUAGCUAUGUUCGGAAAAGAUAACCGCUGAAAGCAUCUAAGCGGGAAACUUGCCUCAAGAUGAGAUCUCACUGGAACCUUGAGUUCCCUAAAGGGCCGUCGAAGACUACGACGUUGAUAGGUUGGGUGUGUAAGCGCUGUGAGGCGUUGAGCUAACCAAUACUAAUUGCCCGUGAGGCUUGACCAU
rnacentral:rRNA from 2 species